rnacentral:rRNA from 1 species
UACGAAGGGGGCUAGCGUUGCUCGGAAUCACUGGGCGUAAAGCGCACGUAGGCGGCUUGGUAUGUCGGGUGUGAAAUCCCCGGGCUCAACCUGGGAACUGCAUCCGAAACUGCCUUGCUAGAGUAUGGGAGAGGGAAGUGGAAUUUCCGGUGUAGCGGUGAAAUGCGUAGAUAUCGGAAGGAACAUCAGUGGCGAAGGCGACUUCCUGGACCAAUACUGACGCUCAGGUGCGAAAGCGUGGGAGCAACAGG